rnacentral:rRNA from 1 species
CCUACGGGAGGCAGCAGUGAGGAAUAUUGUUCAAUGGACGAGAGUCUGAACCAGCCACGUAGCGUGAAGGAUGAAUGCCCUAUGGGUUGUAACCUUCUUUUAUAAAGGAAUACAACGAGGCACGUGUGCCUUUUUGCAUUUACUUUAUGAAUAAGGAUCGGCUAAAUCAGUGCCAGCAGCCGCGGUAAUACGGAGGGUCCGAGCGUUAUCCGGAUUGAUUGGUUUUAAAGGGAGCGUAGAGGGGUUGUGAAUGCAGUUGUGAAAGUUUGCGGCUCAACCGUAAAAUUGCAAUUGAUACUGGCAGACGUGAGUACAGUUGAGGUAGGCGGAAUUCGUGGUGUAGCGGUGAAAUGCUUAGAUAUCACGAAGAACCCCGAUUGCGAAGGCAGCUUACUAAACUGUGACUGACAUUGAUGCUCGAAAGUGUGGGUAUCAAACAGGAUUAGAUACCCUGGUAGUC